CAGAGUCAGCUGAAGACGGACGGACUGUUCAGAACAUCACGUUGUUGGGCUGGAGAAAGAGCCUCAUUUAAAAGCACAAGUUAUUCACAUUUAUUGGUUACCUUAAGGGCUUCAACUAACCAAGCUUCAAAUGGCAGAUUCUCAGCUGUUUCCUGAAAGGUGGGAUAUAUGCAAUGUCAUUUUAAUCCAUCACUGUUUUUAAAAGCAUAUUCAAAAUUCACUAAAGAAAUGUAAGUACUGGUUGCAUAUACAACAUAUAUUUUAGAAGAUUUUAUGACUUUGUUAACAUUAGUUUUUUACAUUGUUAAAACACUGGGGGAGAAAAACUUUUAAAGGGGUCAUGAUUUUAUAAUUUUUUUUA
rnacentral:lncRNA from 1 species